rnacentral:rRNA from 1 species
UACGGGGGGGGGCAAGCGUUGUUCGGAAUUACUGGGCGUAAAGGGCUUGUAGGUGGCCAACUAAGUCAGACGUGAAAUCCCACGGCUUAACCGGGGAACUGCGUCUGAUACUGGAUGGCUUGAGUGUGGGAGAGGGAUGCGGAAUUCCAGGUGUAGCGGUGAAAUGCGUAGAUAUCUGGAGGAACACCGGUGGCGAAGGCGGCAUCCUGGACCAUGACUGACACUGAAAAGCGAAAGCCAGGGGAGCAAACGGG